UUCUUGUGCUUUUUUCUUAUUUGUGCUCUUUUUCUCUUUUUUUCAGAUUUGGCUUCCAGCGCCUCACAUGAGAGUCUCGCCUGGAGAGAGGUAGCUGGCAGCGGGAGGCAUCAUCAGGAUGGAAUGUCCAUAUUGUCUGCUUUCUCGACAAGUCUGGAGCGGGAGGGCCAGAUCCCUUAAACCGAUGGGUGAAGAUUGUACUGAAAGGAAUUGGCUGAAACUUACGCGCUAUGGUCGAUCUCGCGCAAGAGCUCUUUUUCCAAAGUUGGUCAUCCGAAUAAACGCCAGUUUCGCCCGGCUUGAGCGGGGGCAAGAUUAGCCGCUGAAUCUGUAUAGGCUGAUCCUUUAUACGCUCUUCAAUGUACGCUCUAUUGCGUAUUUUGUUUUUGAAGUCGCAGAAUAGUCUAUUAAUCACGUGCCUUUCUAGGCGCUCAACAGGUGGCAAUCAUGGUGGCAUCAAUCAGCUUAUGAGGGAGGGGGCGCUACUAAAGUAGGCUAUAGCCUCCUGCUGUUUUUUUAGCUUUGGAGGAAUUUCUGCUUGUGCUUGUGGAGCGUGCUGUCCAGCUGUUUGUUGCUGCUGCUGCGUCGCUAAAUGCUGCUGUUGGGUUGCAGCAUUUGGAGGAGCUGGAGUUGGUGACUGCUGCUGCUAGAGGCUAAUAUCCGUUGCAUGUUGCUGUUGAUUGGGUUGAUGAGUGCUCCAGGAAUGUGAUGGGUCUUGCAAACGGUGAGAUGGACUGGAAGCCCAUGCUGGAGUCACUUGUAAGGGAGAAGAGAGUCUGGUCUUCGUCCACUGGAUGGAGCCUGUCGGGCUGCCUGAAUUUUGAGCGGCCAGCUUGAAGUCGGUUGCCUCAUCAGUUUGUUUGUAAUCUUCCACAGCUUUUGCCGUAACGAUCGCUUGAGUGGAGUUCGAUUUUGGAUGCCAGUGAAGCAACACGUAUCACUUGGUUCCUGGGUCUUAAAAGUGCACUUAAUUAUUGUUUUGACAACCCCCGUUAAUAUUCUUUUCUGCAAGUGAAUAUAAACAUAAAUCACAGACUGCAGAAGGUGUCGAUUAAUACAAUGCAUGAGCUUUGUUCUCCAAAUAAUAAUAAUUAUAAUGAAAAUAAACGAGAAGAAGUAAAGAGAAAACGAAAACGAUCAGCCCACCACAAUGGCAAAGAAUCACAAAAACAACUAUUACGCUAUUUUGGACACUGCAGACGAAGAGUGCGACGAAAGUGUAAUACAAAAAUUCAAAAAUCAAGUGUUUGUGAACAAGCUUA